rnacentral:rRNA from 1 species
UGCRGUCGAGCGGUAAGGCCCCUUCGGGGGUACACGAGCGGCGGACGGCUGAGUAACACGUAGGAACGUACCCCAAAGUGAGGAAUAACUGCCCGAAAGGGUGGCUAAKGCCGCAKGUGCUCUAAGGAGUAAAGCUUCGGCGCUUUGGGAACGGCCUGCGUCCGAUUAGCUAGUUGGUGAGGUAAUAGCUCACCAAGGCUACGAUCGGUAGCUGGUCUGAGAGGAUGAUCAGCCAGASKGGGACUGAGACACGGCCCAGACUCCUACGGGAGGCAGCAGUAGGGAAUUUUCCACAAUGGGCGAARGCCUGAUGGAGCAACGCCGCGUGCRGGGUGAAUGCCUUAGGGUUGUAAACUGCUUUUAUAUGUGACGAAUAUGACGGUAGCAUAUGAAUAAGGAUCGGCUAACUCCGUGCCAGCAGCCGCGGUCAUACGGAGGAUCCAAGCGUUAUCCGGAAUUACUGGGCGUAAAGAGUUGCGUAGGUGGCRUAGUAAGCGAGUAGUGAAAGCGUGUGGCUCAACCAUACAUCCMUUACUUGAACUGCUAAGCUAGRGUAUGAGAGAGGUAGAUGGAGUUCCCUGUGUAGGAGUGAAAUCCGUAKAURUAGGGAGGAACACCGAUGGCGUAGGCAGKCUACUGGCUCAUUACUGACACKAAGGCRCGAAWGCGUGGGGAGCAAACGGGAUUAGAUACCCCGGUAGUCCA